UGUGGAAUGUGAGAUGGUAGAGUAUGAGUUUCUUAUUCUUGAUAUCAUUGUUGCUUGGAGAAUUUAUUCUAGCUACCAUCCUUAGUGUUUUAUAUGCCUGAUAAAAUUGAAAAUAUUAAUUAUGAUUAUAAAAGCUAUCUACUCUGUAUUGAGUUUGUUCAAAAUGAGUUAGACCCUUGUUGAGAGAUUUAUCAUGCUCCUAAGAUCAAGAUAUUUAUUUAGAAAGAUUCACUCUUCCAAAGUAUUAUUGCAUUAGAGGCAUGGGCUAUGCAAAAAUAAAGAUAUUUCGAGGAAAUAAAAAGGAGCAAGUGCUCGAUAACCUCGCAGAAAAAAAUGGACAAGUGUCCGGUAGUAGAAUUAGGGGUACCUCGGUAUCCACUUAAAAAAA
rnacentral:lncRNA from 1 species